UUUUAUGGAGAGUUUGAUCCUGGCUCAGGAUGAACGCUGGCGGCGUGCCUAAUACAUGCAAGUCGAGCGAACGGACGAGAAGCUUGCUUCUCUGAUGUUAGCGGCGGACGGGUGAGUAACACGUGGAUAACCUACCUAUAAGACUGGGAUAACUUCGGGAAACCGGAGCUAAUACCGGAUAAUAUUUUGAACCGCAUGGUUCAAAAGUAAAAGACGGUCUUGCUGUCACUUAUAGAUGGAUCCGCGCUGCAUUAGCUAGUUGGUAAGGUAACGGCUUACCAAGGCAACGAUGCAUAGCCGACCUGAGAGGGUGAUCGGCCACACUGGAACUGAGACACGGUCCAGACUCCUACGGGAGGCAGCAGUAGGGAAUCUUCCGCAAUGGGCGAAAGCCUGACGGAGCAACGCCGCGUGAGUGAUGAAGGUCUUCGGAUCGUAAAACUCUGUUAUUAGGGAAGAACAUAUGUGUAAGUAACUGUGCACAUCUUGACGGUACCUAAUCAGAAAGCCACGGCUAACUACGUGCCAGCAGCCGCGGUAAUACGUAGGUGGCAAGCGUUAUCCGGAAUUAUUGGGCGUAAAGCGCGCGUAGGCGGUUUUUUAAGUCUGAUGUGAAAGCCCACGGCUCAACCGUGGAGGGUCAUUGGAAACUGGAAAACUUGAGUGCAGAAGAGGAAAGUGGAAUUCCAUGUGUAGCGGUGAAAUGCGCAGAGAUAUGGAGGAACACCAGUGGCGAAGGCGACUUUCUGGUCUGUAACUGACGCUGAUGUGCGAAAGCGUGGGGAUCAAACAGGAUUAGAUACCCUGGUAGUCCACGCCGUAAACGAUGAGUGCUAAGUGUUAGGGGGUUUCCGCCCCUUAGUGCUGCAGCUAACGCAUUAAGCACUCCGCCUGGGGAGUACGACCGCAAGGUUGAAACUCAAAGGAAUUGACGGGGACCCGCACAAGCGGUGGAGCAUGUGGUUUAAUUCGAAGCAACGCGAAGAACCUUACCAAAUCUUGACAUCCUUUGACAACUCUAGAGAUAGAGCCUUCCCCUUCGGGGGACAAAGUGACAGGUGGUGCAUGGUUGUCGUCAGCUCGUGUCGUGAGAUGUUGGGUUAAGUCCCGCAACGAGCGCAACCCUUAAGCUUAGUUGCCAUCAUUAAGUUGGGCACUCUAAGUUGACUGCCGGUGACAAACCGGAGGAAGGUGGGGAUGACGUCAAAUCAUCAUGCCCCUUAUGAUUUGGGCUACACACGUGCUACAAUGGACAAUACAAAGGGCAGCGAAACCGCGAGGUCAAGCAAAUCCCAUAAAGUUGUUCUCAGUUCGGAUUGUAGUCUGCAACUCGACUACAUGAAGCUGGAAUCGCUAGUAAUCGUAGAUCAGCAUGCUACGGUGAAUACGUUCCCGGGUCUUGUACACACCGCCCGUCACACCACGAGAGUUUGUAACACCCGAAGCCGGUGGAGUAACCUUUUAGGAGCUAGCCGUCGAAGGUGGGACAAAUGAUUGGGGUGAAGUCGUAACAAGGUAGCCGUAUCGGAAGGUGCGGCUGGAUCACCUCCUUUCU
rnacentral:rRNA from 5 species